ACUAAGAAAAGAUGAACCUGCAGCCCCUGUUAUGCCAUCUGGUCUAAUUGAUACUACUGUUAUCAAGCAAAAGGAGCUCUCUCCCUGAGGCACUGGAAGCCAAUAUUUUGACACCAGGUUUUUGAGAAAGAAAAGUUUUUUUUAUUAUUCUGCCUGCCAGACUGAAACACAAAAAUACUCACCUGAUUCCUUCCCACUGCCAGGACAGCCCAGUUUGUGUGACGGUCAUAACAGCACUGUGUGGGAAGGAGGCAGCCAGACCCUGAGAUAAAGAUGCUAAUUACCAGAGGCAAUUACAACUUUCUCAUAAAUGUCUCCAAAGAGACCACUGAAGUAUCCAAAAGAGGCUCUUACUUUUUCACAAUCCCUGAAGACUGCAAGGAGCAGAAAAUAUUGAGGUUUGAUCUGUGACGCACUUGUAGAGAAGCAUGUUUGUCUCACUGGAUUUCCUAAUUCUAUGAGAUACUCUUCUUCCUAAAAUCAAGCUCAUCCUUAAUUUGCAGAUCCAUUAUGUAAGUAUUCAGCAGGUAACUGGAAUCAGAUAAAGGAUCUAGAAUGGAUUAAUAAAAAAUGAGAUAAAUGU